rnacentral:rRNA from 1 species
UACAGAGGGGGCAAGCGUUAUUCGGAAUUAUUGGGCGUAAAGGGCGCGUAGGCGGCUUUUCAAGUGACGGGUGAAAUCCCUCGGCUUAACCGAGGAACUGCCUGUCAGACUGGAAGGCUUGAGACCGGGAGAGGUGAGUGGAAUUCCCAGUGUAGCGGUGAAAUGCGUAGAUAUUGGGAGGAACACCAGUGGCGAAGGCGGCUCACUGGACCGGAACUGACGCUGAGGCGCGAAAGCGUGGGGAGCAAGCAGG